CAUCACUGUCUCCUUCUCUCUCGCUAUCUCCCACCGUCUCUCUCUCUCUUUGAAGAGGAGGAUGAAAAGAUCACAGAGCUGAAGCCUGGUCCAGAAUCUGACCAGCAUGAAGAGGAGGACAUCAAGGAGACGAAAGAGGGCUACCCCUGCAGGGAGCUGACAGAGGAAGAGAAGCAGCAGAUCCUCUAAUCAGAGGAGUUCCUCAGUUUCUUUGACUGCAGCAUCAGAGUGAUGGAGAGAGCCCUGGCUCAGGAAUCAGACAUCUUCUUCAACUACAGCGGACAAGACCUGGAUGACAAGGAGGGGGACUUACAAGGCGGGUCCAGUCAGUCCCUCAGUAGGUUGUUCUAUGACGAUCACUGGUCCAAACAUUGAGUCAUCACCUGUCUGGACUGGUCCCCUCGGUACCCAGAGCUGUUGGUGGCGUCCUACAACAACAAUGAGGAUGCUCCUCACGAGCCUGACGGUGUAGCUCUGGUCUGGAACAUGAAGUUUAACAAGAACACACCUGAGUAUGUCUUCCACUGCCAGGUAAAAUCAGUCCCAGGUCCAGGUCUAUAAAUAUGUUGGGUACAGGGCCUGUAUUCACAAAGUGUCUGAUCUAGGUUGAUAUGACCUAUAACUGUUCCCCACAGGAUACAGAUGCUGGAUUCGUGUGAUAUAUAUGUCUAUAUAUUUAACAACAGUCUGAUUCACAAUUGUGUUUUGAGUCUCAACAGAGCCUAAAUAAAAAUGU